GGAGUUUCCGGGGGUGUGUUUGGAGGAGUUUCUGGUGGUGUGGUUGGAGGUGUCUUUGGUGUGUUUGGAGGAGUUCCCGGUGGUGUGUUUGGAGGUGUUUCUGGUGGAGUAUUUGGAGGACUUUGUGGGGGGGUGUUUGGUGGAGUUUCUGGUGGUGUGAUUGGAGGAGUUUCUGGUGGUGUGGUUGGAGGUGUCUCCGGUGGUGUGUUUGGAGGAGUUCCUGGUGGUGUGUUUGGAAGUGUCUCUGGUGGUGUGUUUGGAGGAGUUCCCGGUGGUGUGUUUGGAGGUGUUUCUGGUGGAGUAUUUGGAGGACUUUGUGGGGGGGUGUUUGGUGGAGUUUCUGGUGGUGUGAUUGGAGGAGUUUCUGGUGGUGUUGUUGGAGGUGUCUCCGGUGGUGUGUUUGGAGGAGUUCCUGGUGGUGUGUUUGGAAGUGUCUCCGGUGGUGUGUUUGGAGGAGUUCCCGGUGGUGUGUUUGGAGGUGUUUCUGGUGGAGUAUUUGGAGGACUUUGUGGGGGUGUGUUUGGUGGAAUUUCCGGUGGUGUGGUUGGAGAAGUUUCCGGUGGUGUGUUUGGAGAAGUUUCUGGUGGUGUGGUUGGAGGUGUCUCCGGUGGUGUGGUUGGAGGUGUCUCCGGUGGUGUGUUUGGAGGAGUUCCCGGUGGUGUGUUUGGAGGUAUUUCCGGUGGAGUGUUUGGAGGACUUUCUGGGGGCGUGUUUGGUGGAGUUUCUGGUGGUGUUGUUGGAGGUGUCUCCGGUGGCGUGUUUGGUGGAAGCGUUGGUGGAGUCUGUGGUGGUGUGUUAGGAGGUAUUUCCGGUGGUAUGGUCGGAGGUGUCUGUGGUGGUAGGGUUGGUGGACCUGUUGGUAAAACUUCCGUAGGUGGUGUGGCUGGUGGACCCGUCGGUGGAGUCUCCGGUG
rnacentral:lncRNA from 1 species